AUUGAACGCUAGCGGGAUGCCUUACACAUGCAAGUCGAACGGAGUGGCGAACGGGUGAGUAAUGUAUCGGAACGUGCCCGGUAGCGGGGGAUAACUACCCGAAAGGGUCGCUAAUACCGCAUACUAUCGGAGCGGCCGAUGUCGGAUUAGCUAGUUGGUGGGGUAACGGCUCACCAAGGCGACGAUCCGUAGCUGGUUUGAGAGGACGAUCAGUCACACUGGAACUGAGACACGGCCCAGACUCCUACGGGAGGCAGCAGUGGGGAAUUUUGGACAAUGGGCGAAACCCUGAUCCAGCCAUCCCGCGUGUGUGAUGAAGGCCUUCGGGUUGUAAAGCACUUUUGGCAGGAAAGCGGUACCUGCAGAAUAAGCACCGGCUAACUACGUGCCAGCAGCCGCGGUAAUUC
rnacentral:rRNA from 1 species